UACGGAGGGUGCAAGCGUUGUUCGGAAUUACUGGGCGUAAAGGGCGCGUAAGCGGUUUGAUAAGUCAGAUGUGAAAGCCCACGGCUUAACCGUGGAAGUGCAUUUGAAACUGUCAGACUUGAAUACCAAAAGGGAAAGUGGAAUUCCCGGUGUAGAGGUGAAAUUCGUAGAUAUCGGGAGGAAUACCGGUGGCGAAAGCGACUUUCUGGCUGGAUACUGACGCUGAGGCGCGAAAGCGUAGGGAGCAAACAGG
rnacentral:rRNA from 1 species